AUUGAACGCUAGCGGGGUGCUUUACACAUGCAAGUCGAACGAGUGGCGGAGGGGUGAGUAAUAUAUCGGAACGUGCCCAGUAACGGGGGAUAACUACUCGAAAGAGUGGCUAAUACCGCAUGCUAUUGGAGCGGCCGGUAUCGGAUUAGCUAGUUGGUAGGGUAACGGCUCACCAAGGCAACGCUCCGUAGCUGGUUUGAGAGGACGACCAGCCACAUUGGGACUGAGACACGGCCCAGACUCCUACGGGAGGCAGCAGUGGGGAAUUUUCGACAAUGGGCGAAAGCCUGAUGCAGCCAUGCCGCGUGUAUGAGAAGGCCUUCGGGUCGUAAAGUACUUUUGGUAGAGAAGCGGUAUCUGCAGAAUAAGUAACGGCUAACUACGUGCCAGCAGCCGCGGUAAUUC
rnacentral:rRNA from 1 species